AACGAACGCUGGCGGCGCGCUUAAUACAUGCAAGUCGAACGAGAAGGUGUAGCAAUACACUUGUAAAGUGGCGAACGGGUGAGGAAUACAUGGGUAACCUACCCUCGAGUGGGAACACCAGCCGAAAGGUUGGCUAAUACCGCGUACGCUUCCGGGUCUUCGGAUUCGGAAGGAAAGUCAUACCGUGGGUAUGACGCUCAAGGAUGGGCUCAUGUCCUAUCAGCUUGUUGGUAGGGUAACGGCCUACCAAGGCUCCGACGGGUAGCUGGUCUGAGAGGACGAUCAGCCACACUGGCACUGCGACACGGGCCAGACUCCUACGGGAGGCAGCAGUGAGGAAUAUUGCGCAAUGGGCGAAAGCCUGACGCAGCGACGCCGCGUGGGGAUGAAGGUCUUCGGAUUGUAAACCCCGUUU
rnacentral:rRNA from 1 species